ACGGGACAACACGGGCAUGGUGGCGGCUGUAAUGGUGAUGAGGCGGAGUUUACGAAGCUUCAGACCCUGGCCCAGCACCCAGAAGGCACUGUCCCCUGCGUCCCCUCGGCCCAGCUGGGCCCAGCUGUCUCGCCCAGGGCGUGCUCCGCCUCCUGGCUGGACAGCCCUGUUUUUCUAGUAACCCGUGGAGGGCAGAGGAGGGGCGGGGGGACACGGUGCCCUUCCUGGCCGCCCCGCGGCAUCUGGGGCGGAGGGGCAGAGGCAGCAGGAGUGGGUGCCUCCAGGCCCUGUCUCCACCAUGCUGGCUCCGAGCGCCGGAGUCGAGAGCGUGGCAGUCCCGUCCCCCGGGACACCAGCCUGAGCCCUGCUCCCGGGCUCUGUCGUCCCCUGGCCGGCCCCACACAGCUGUCUCCGUUCAGAGCUCUGCGGAACACCCAGUGCAGCCACAGGAAGAGCCGGAUCGUGUCAGGCCCCGCGGGGGAACUUGGCCCGAGCGAGACCGGGGAGCCUUGGAGGACAGAGCAGCCCCUGAAAGCAGCUGCAGCACUUGGCAAGAACGGGAAACCGAGGGGCCGGGGCUGUGACCUUGGAGGAGAGACGGCAGCAGGUGGCCCGCACUGUCCAGGUUGCGAUGGGGGGAGCGGCCCCUGGAAAGGGGGGAGUGGGAACUGGAAGCCGAAACAGCUGCACGGAAUCCUCCUGAGGCACUGGCUGAACCCUGAGCGCCAGGAAGUCCAGCGGAGCCCGGAGCCGAGGCAGCCAGAGGCGAAGAGCUCCUGGGGCCUGGGCCAGAGCCGCGCCGCGGCGAGAGGGACCAGACUGGGCCUGAGCGGCCCCUGGCAUUCAGCGCCGAAAGUGACAAGCGCUGAACACUGGACUGGGGAGAAGCGAAAGAACAGGCGGCAGAGAGAGGCACACAGGUGCGCGGACAGAGAAACGGACAAACUCUCAAAGCUGGUGCCUGGGCCGGCUGUGGUGGGUACAUUCAAGCAGGUGCUCCCGGGAGGCCGCAGCCCAGCGGGGCGGGCAGUCAACCACCGUCCCCGGUCUGUCUCCUCCGGGCUCAGCUUGCACUGUCCGGAGUGGGUGGUGAGCCCGUCGUGCCCAGGGCACGGGGGAGAGCAGGUGGCAGCCUUGGGGGCAGAGAGACCUGCCGUUGCCUCUCUGUCCUGUGCCUGGGGAGCAGGCACCGGCCCGGCCCUGGCGCCAGCUCCAUCCCUGCCCUUCCCACCCGCCUGGCCACCACUCCAGCCUUGCUGA
rnacentral:lncRNA from 1 species